AACACGUCUGUGAGAUCACCUGGGCUUAGCACACACCUGUUCCUGCACAGGAAUUUAUCCUGUUGCAUUUAGUCACAGCUGGUGGCACAUUAUGAAUGGUGGAUCGUCACAAGAUGCAAAUUAAACGACGGAAUACGGGUGAAAUGAUACAAAACAAGAAAUCAACUGAACAAAAUGAUCCACAUCUUGCUAUUACCAAACAUCUAUGGAACAUGCAAAGGCAGAAUGGAGCUGGAUCCAUGGAAAGGUCACUCAGCAGGAAGGAGGCACAGAAACCAACAAACAAGGGAGAUGAGGACCACAGAACCCCUGAUAUGCUCAACACAGAAGAUAUUAAAAAAGAAUGCAGAAGAAGAAAUAUAUGCACACUGACUUUUUCCUGCCUGGUCUUUUCCUGGCUUUACCUAUCAGCAAGAGGAGCCAAGAGGACAUUAAUGUCACUCCACCAAAAAGUUCACAUUUGCCCUCAGGAGGUACAAAUCCUACAGAGUACCGCCUUUGACUAAGGGCUGCCUGCAAAAGCUGUGCAAGAAACUUAACUGGUCAGUUUAAGUGCAGAAUCAUUUGUCCACAGGUUAAAAUGCAAAAUCAGUUCAGC